GACACCAUUGUUUUGGUUUUCAGUGCUUUUUUUCAAGGAACAAUAAGGAUUUUAAAUCCACUCGAGUGUAUUGAUGAAACUAAAUUAAAUUCCUCUCUGAAAUCGUACAAACAGCCCCAGCAUUCAUUAUAUUUUAACUAGAGGCAGCAGAGGUUUGUUCUGCAAGUACUAGUUUACUCCAGGGCACAGUACAGCUCAGCCACACCUCUGUACUCUCACAUAUUCUCGACAUAAGUGCAAAAUUCCCUUAAAUUCCCUCGCUUCAGUGCCCAGACGACUGUCCAGCAUCUUGGGUUUCACUGAAUACUAAAAAAAUCCCAAUUCCUUUGUAAAAGACCUAUAUUAAGCAGCAGGUAUUGCCGCUAGAUCCCCUAUUGUUCCAUUUGUCUCUAAAGGUUCCUAUCACCCCUCUCCCUUCUGCUCCUAGCUCUAAGCUAGUGCUAUCCAACAUUCCAUCUCCAGCCCAUUUGCUCAGUCUCCAUGUGGUCCUCGCCUCUUAACAUGUCUGCUUGGCAGCUCUGCCCUUCGAGCCAGCGGUUCUCUGUCUCACAAGGCUGCACUGAUGGGGGUGGGGAAUAAGAUGGCUAAGGGCUAGCUUCAAGUGAGAUCCCUCUUUCAAAGUGGUUUCUGCAAAAGCCCCUGGACUUAGAAAUCAGAAACUCUAUAGCUAUUAUAUUUUUCUAUUCUUGUUUUGCUAUUUUUACUUCUGAAACAUGAUCUCUGUCUGAAAAGACGCUUUCUCCGGGUUCUCACUCUCUCCCUAUUGACCCCCUCACACUGAAAGUUCCACCUUAUGCUCUGAACUUCCUACGCUGACCCAAAACUAAGUCUCUCAGUGGGAACCCCAACUCUGGUACUUCUAUUUAAAAAUAGUAAGAUCUGCUUCGGAGGAAACUCUAGCUGUUCCCCAGGAAAACCAGUGAGGCCCCACACUGGCUCUGUCCAGGUCUCACAGCAAGCCUUGCUUCUUGAAAUCUAAACUGAUUUAAUGUAGUCCCUUCACGGUACCUGGGUGUUGAAUCCUGGGUAAUGAAUGGCAGAAGUAUUUUGCACAGCUUGUAUUUCAGUAAUGGACAAUGGGUAAUCUAGACAGCCUUUAAGUAGGAGUGAGCCAAACUAGAUCUGGAAUCCCUUUACCCGUACUGUUUGCAAAAGAAGUAAACCUUGCUGUCUUUUUAUAGUAGAAAUCCAUUGCUCGUUUGUUGAAUUAGUUGCAUUUUGUUGUAUAGAAAGAGUUUGAUGCUGUGUAUUUCUGUUUGUGAGAAAAGACCCAAGUUAUAAAUUUAAGCAUUAGAACUGUAAAUAGAGUAGUUGGGUGGAUAAAAUUCUAUCUCAGAUGUAAAACACAAAAGUAAACACAAAGAUCAGCUUAGAUUUUGAUAUUAUAUUUUAAAUACUAGAUGUUAAUCUGGCGGGUUUUAGACAGUCCUUAAGUUUCCAGAAAUUGUCUUUUAUUUUUGCAUUUUGAACUAUAUGGCUCUAGAUAUCUUGAAUAAAGUCUUUUAUUGUCU
rnacentral:lncRNA from 1 species